UAGCUCAAUGGUAGAGCAUUUGUCUCAUGCAGAAAGACUUGGGUUCAAUCCCCAA
rnacentral:tRNA from 1 species